GUAAGUUUACCGCCGGGUGACCGUCUUGCAUUCAUUCCAUUAGGCCAUUGAAGGGAUGAGUGUUAGACGUUUUUUAUG
rnacentral:ncRNA from 1 species